rnacentral:rRNA from 1 species
AUGAAACACGGAGCAAUCUGUGGCUUAUAGAUGGGCCUGCGGCGCAUUAGCUAGUUGGUAGGGUAACGGCCUACCAAGGCGACGAUGCGUAGCCGACCUGAGAGGGUGAACGGCCACACUGGGACUGAGACACGGCCCAGACUCCUACGGGAGGCAGCAGUAGGGAAUCUUCCGCAAUGGACGCAAGUCUGACGGAGCAACGCCGCGUGAGUGAUGAAGGUUUUCGGAUCGUAAAGCUCUGUUGCCCUAGACGAACAGCAAGGCGAGUAACUGCGCUUUGUGUGACGGUAUAGGAGAAGAAAGCCCCGGCUAACUACGUGCCAGCAGCCGCGGUAAUACGUAGGGGGCAAGCGUUGUCCGGAAUUAUUGGGCGUAAAGCGCGCGCAGGCGGUUAAUUAAGUUGGGUGUUUAAGCCCGGGGCUCAACCCCGGUUCGCAUCCAAAACUGGUUGACUUGAGUGUAGGAGAGGAAAGUGGAAUUCCACGUGUAGCGGUGAAAUGCG